rnacentral:lncRNA from 1 species
UGCCCAUUUUAAUCAUUUUCAAGUGUACAAUACAGUGGGAUUACGUUUAUAUACAAUUUUGUGUAACCAUCUCGACUGUUUCCAGAGCUUAUUUUUUUAUUUUUUAUUUCUUAAGCUUUACCAGGAUAGAAUGCUUAAGAAUUAAGAGGGAAAAAUACAUGACUUUGCUUUAAAGUGAGAUCAAGAAGCAAUUGUUUGCCAUCUUCCUUCCUGGGAAAGGAGACUGACAGUUCCUGAGGCAGCUCUUGUCAAGGGAAGGAAUGGAAAGGAAAGAAGUGCUCAGGAGGCCCCCAAAAGGACUUUGGCACUCACCAAUGCAGCCAGACGAUGAAUAACACAGUGGGGGUGCAUGGCUAAGUAUAAUGCAAAAAGACAAGUUGAGUAUCAAUUCCACAUCAUUGGUUGGGUGCCGUGAAGAGCUGGAUCCAGCUCAGCAGGAAAGAGUGGUUUCAUCGACUGUCGAGAUUGCCAUAAGCACGAUGGGAGACAGUGGGAACUCACAUGUUAUACGUCUAUAUCUACCUUCCUGGUUUAAUGAUCACUAACAAAUUGAUCAUGACCUUUGGAUCUGAACAACAUUGGUUCUUCACCAAAAUAAAAUCCACUAUCAAUGGAUGAGGAUUUGCUACCCAUGGAUUCUUAAAUAGGGUAUGCCACAGGCUUUUGAAGAUUCUUCCAAAGAUGAUGAACUAAAAUGAUUUGCGCAACGGAAGCUUCAUUAGUGUAAAAGUAUGGUCUUCUAAAAGUAUUAUACUGAAGGCCAAAAUUCACUCGAAUGUGUAACUUCCUGUUAGCUUGUUUAAUAAACCAUUCAUUUUGCAUUAGGCUCUCAUGCCACGUACAGCAUGUCACCAUGUACUGAAUCAGAAUGAUGCGCAUAGGCUGACCCUGCACUAAUCUCUGGGAAGGCACAGUGAUGCAAACAAGGAGCCCAGGUGAAUCCUUAGCCUCUAACAGAGAUGGAAUCGGAGCUCUGGAAAUCUUACUGAUAAUGUUAACAUCCAAGCGACCCACUGUUGGCAACUCCAGAAUUACGAAAUAUGGACUUCAUGCAGCUGUGAAAAUACUGUUGUGUUCAUAAACAACUACUGUGAUUAUAGAGAAAUAAGAAAUACUGAAAAGAAAGCAACCAAAUCAUCCUUGGAAGGAGUGUCUUUGAGCAUUGCUGUCUGGGCUUUUGAAGGAAAUGUCAGUACAAUUCUAAUCCUAACCUAUAGUGGAAGGUGAACUGGGUCUUGGGGGCCCCCUGCCCUGGGCCUUGAACUUUUGAGGGUCAUACUCUUGUCUUCCUGUCUCUAUGAGGAGAGGAGUCGCAGGCACAAAAGGAUAUACCCUCUUGAGUCUACUUUGGUAGGAAGAAAUCUAGGAUGGUACACUAGAUUCCUAUCUUCCUCUCUCCUUGAAUGGAAAAAGACCUAUUAAUAUGAUGGAUGUCAUUCAUGUGAUUAGGUUAUAUUAUAUGGCAAAGGUGAAGGGCUUGGGAGAUGUAAUUAUAGCUUCUAAUCAGUUGGUUAUAAGUCAAUUAAGAGACUGUCCUGGGUGGUUCUGACCUAAUCAGGCAAAAUCCCUUAAAAGGAGGACCGAACCCUUGCUAAGAAGAAAAAUUCUCCUACUAGCCUUGGAAAAGCAAGUUGCCACAGGUUCUACAGCCCCAAGGGACUGAAUUUUGCCAAUAACCAAUGAGCUUGGUUAAGGACCCUGAGCCUCAGGUGAGACCCCAGGUCUGGUUGGCAUCUUGAGAUGAGAUCCUGAGCAGAAGACCAAGCUAAGCCAUGCAUGGACUCUUGGCUCCUGGAAACUACCAAAUAAUAAAUAUGUGCUGUUGUAAGCUAUUACAUUUAUGGUGAUUUGAGGUGACAGCAUAGAAUACUGGCUCACCCAUGUUCAUCUUCUGGCUGGUGGUACAGAACAUAUGGUCUGUUACUACUGGUCCAUGGUGAGAUAAAUACAGAAAGUAAGGGCCAAUGUUCCAUACUUUCUAUGGCAAUUCGAUACUUCUUGAACAUUUUAAUUGUAUUUUACAAAAGUAUUAGUCCACAGUAGAGUGGACAUUUAAAAACAACAACAACAACAACUGGGAGUAGUUCUUCACCAGAGAAGCACAGUUUCUAGUUCAUGAUCCAGGUAACUGGAACCCUAAAUUCCCCUGCACAAAUUGUGUCAAGCUGCUUUCAGAGCCUGCCCAGUCCUCUUUCUCUGGUCUGCCUAUCCAAGGACAUACAGUGCUGCUGCUGAGCUAAUCCUAGGCCUGAGUGUGGCCAAGGGGCAGCUCUUUAUAAGGGAGGGAGGCUGGAGGGAAUCAUGGGUCAGAGUGUCUACAGGUGAAUGUGAGCCCUUGAACAUGCAGGUGAGGAGAUAGGAAGAGACGGGGGAGGGAGGGUAUAACCAGAGGUCAGGGGCUAUGGAUAGCUUUCUACACAAUCUUUCACAGUUCCCUGAUGAACCAUGGGCAAUCCAUGUCAUUGUGGCUUUUAUGUCAUUGUGAAGGUCUGUUGAUCAAGGUAGAAAGUAAGAACAUAUUUUACUUAAUGUUGUGUUAUUUUGAUUUGUAUUUUUAAACAUUCUAGACACAGGCUCUGUGGGCUUCCAUUUGUACUCUUCACCGGCCUUGCAGAGGCUGAGUGAGUCUGGUGUGUGAUCAUUACUCAUGGGUCACUUCCAAGUUCUUUUUCCAGUGCCUGCAAACCUAGAACCCUGGUUUGCUAAAAUGCAAAGUGAAAGAUAUUGUUUAUUUUGUCUCUAGUGAAGUGCUCUCUGCACUGAUUAACUUUUU